rnacentral:lncRNA from 1 species
AUAUAUAGUAGCAUACUUCGUCAAUGAGAGUUUGACCGACAUAACACAUUAUGAAUGUGCAACUGACAGUAGAUGCUUGCAUCAUAAGAUGAAUUAUCAUAGCUGCAGCGUUACUGUCUUCCCAUUCCUAAAAUUACAAGUAUUAUCAUUACAAGUUCAUAGUAUAAACAUAUGAUCAUUCUAUACCGUGACAACGUUAUAUCCAAUCACGCAUCCUAUACUCGUUUCGACCAUGAUCUCGAGAAGAAAAAGGUAACCGUUCACCUGUGGUAUCAUCAUUUUCAUCUUCUUUCUCCCGUUCUUCUCUUUCAAAAAUACGUGCAAAAAUCCUGGAACCAAUACUAUUAAUUGCAACGUGUAACAGGUAAAUAUCAAGUACCAAUUCAAAAUCUUUGAAAGUGUGGAAGAUGAGACGCGGUUUGGCCAUGCGCCCAAUAUUCUCAGAAGCGGAUACGCGAACCAUACGGUAUGCCUCAUCCCGUUUUCCGCUUUCCCUACUCGAGACAUUUUAAUGAUCGAUAGAAUGGAACUGUCUAUGUUGUGACAGAAGACAUCAAUGAUUUCAGGAGACUUUUUUGCGCUUGCGUGUUAUAAAGAUUUAAAUAUCCGCAAAUAUGAAACGAUUUUAAUGCAUGUGGGGAAUAAUGUUUUGAAUUUUUACAAAAGGAUAAGAAAAUUGGAUGAAAUUACCGCUGCUCGCGAUGCAUGCCCCCUAUGAGAAGUUUUAUAGUAUCUGCUAUCUCUUUUUCUAAAAACGGUUUUAGAAAUGUUCACCAACAAUAAGCAUAUCUAUAUAUAUAUGAAAUGAAUAUAUAUAGAUAUGAAUAUAUAUGAAAAUUUUAUGAAAAUUAAUAAUCAAUAUUUGUCGUAAAAAAUAUCUCAUAUAUACAUACGUGAUAAAAAACAUAUUAAAGUAUUGUGAACGUGUACUUGUAAUGAAAUUAAACAUGUAAACUUUCACGGAGUUACGAUUUUCCAGAAAAAUGUUUUUAUUGGUUGCAAAGUUUACACGGGAACCAUAAUUACCGGAAUGAUAAGUAAAUGUGAAAGGGUUCUAUACGAGGGGAACAAGUUACACAUAAAGUUCUGUAAAAAAAAUAGAAGAAAAUAAAAAUGACAAUAAUAUGAAAAUUAUCUUUUAAUCUCAGUCGACUGCUUUCUGUUGUAUCGCACGUAUUUGUUUAAAAAAAUGAGCUUAAGCAACUGUUCGUAAUAUGUUCAAAUAUCCUACAGAUGUCUUUACGAUCUGAAAAAUAUAAUUAGAAUAAUGUAUGAAAAGAAUAAAGGAAAUUUAAUUUUUUCUUAUAAAUACAUACAUCGGUAAAAGUGAUCAACGAUAUGUCUACAAUUUUACCAGCUGUGACUUUUAUUGGAUAAUUCGACAUAAUAAUAACCAGUAUCAAGCCACGCGCUUCAUUCACAGAAUCAUGUACCGUGAUAAGGCAGUAUCCGAUCACGCAAGCUCCACACACGUAUUCGAGAAUUUCGCAAAAAUAAAGAUAAGACGUGAGUUGUUCGACGUGAUUUAAAAAGCUGAAAUGAGAUUUCGUGCACUCCAUAAAUAUGAAUAUAAUCUCUUCUCGUAUAAAAUAUAUAUCCAUAUAUCAAAUUUUUAAAGAAUCAUUUCUAUACUCACUCUAUAAUCUUCAUCUGAUACUCAACAAUAUCCGCGAGCUUCUUACGCACAACCCUUUCGCAUUCAUCUGACUGACAGAAAUAUGUACAGAAGGCCUGGGACCAUGAAUAUCAAUGUGAGCAAAUACGAGAGAAAAAUUAUAACGUAAUUUGAUAUUUUGGCGAACGCGGAUGAUGAGACGCUCAAUGGCCAGUAGCCGAGCAUUCUCGAGAACGGAUAUGCAAACCAGAAGAAUCAUUCAACCAUACCAUGAUAAGGCAAUAUUUACGAUCACAAGGUUAUACACACAUAUUCAAGAAUUUCGCAAAAAUAAAACGUAAAAUAAAAAAUUGAAAUCAAAUUUCAAUCGUUGUGCACUCCAUUAAUAUAAAUAUAAUCAUUUUCUAUAUAAAAUAUUCAUAUAUAAUAUAUUAAAUUUUUAAUCAAUUAUUUAUACUCACUCUAUACGAUUUUCAUUUGAUAUUCAACAAUAUCUGCGAACUUCUUACAUAUAUCUCACUUCAAAUGGACUGUUACUUUUAUUGGAUAAUGUGACAUAAGGAUCAGUAAUAUCAAGCUGCGCGCCUUUUUCACAGGUAAAAUUUCUAUUAAAUAUCUGAACUAAUACUUAAUACAUUUUAUCUAUAAAUAAUAAUAAACGAUUUACUUCAUCAAGUAGAAGUUGACCGACGUAGCAUACUGAGAACGUGCCAAUGACGCAAGUUACUUGGAAGACAACAUAAAUCACCAUAGCCAUAGCAUUGCUGUCUUCCCAUUCCUAAAAUGCAAUUAAUAUAUCACUAAAAUCAUCAUUAUUCUCAAUAUAACGCAUCAAAUCAUUCGUACCAUGAUUAUGCAAUAACCAAUUAUACAUAUAAUCAAUACUUGGAUAACAACUUCGAUAAGAUAAAUAGCGGGUACGAAUUGAUCAAGUUGAUUCAAAAAACUGAAAUAAAGAUUUUCGUAGAUUAAAUUACACUUUCUAAUAAUUUGUAUAAUUAACUAUCUUUGUAUUCUUUUUCGAUACUCGCUCUUUGAUCCUCGUUUGAUACUCAACGAUGUGCACGAUCUUCUCCUGCACAACUUGUUCAUCACUGUCAUUCGUAAGAUCCAUCACCUUGUUCGUCAAGAUCUUCAGCAAACCGCACAUAUGCAAACACAGCAUCAAACAAGCGCUCUUCGUGCCGCAUAAAACUGUGUAAAUGAUAAAUCCGCCGAGAACUUGUAGCGUGAAAAUUAUCUCGUAGUUCGGCGUAGCUUGCUCGUUCAAGGAACCAAAGUAACUCGGACAAGAACGUACAGAAGGCCUGGGAUCAAGACUAUCAAUU